CUUUGUUAUGCGUGAUCUAGUAUUUAGGGGUGAGAGAGACAACAUCUUUGGCAGAUAGGAAGCCAGGCUACAAGAUGAAUUUCUUAAUGCUUUGCAAUAAAAAAAUGUAAAUUAGCCAAGCAACCGAGAAAGUAGGGAAGAACACUUCACUUGAAACAGAGAUCACCAUUAUUGAUAUGGUCAAAGUAGCAGUAGUAACAUUUGAAAGAUAACCACGCAACCUUUCACCUGAAAUCUCAACCUCAAAGGGGGGCCUGGUCACUCGGGGAUCAAGUUUGGACGGUCCCCUCUGUCUUUGUAAGUCAGAUAACGUAACAACGGAUCACCUUGUCCAUUAGGAGCGCAAAAGGCGGAACGAACGAGCAACUUCGGUGCUGAAAGGAUGGUGAAUGGCUGAUGGUUGAUGGUUGAUGGUUCUCACUUCUCCUUCAGUGGACCAGAGGGCGUCCAUGGUUCCGAUUACAGAGCUCUUUUCACGUCAUGACUGUGCAUGGCGUGGUGGCUGGUGGCAAGGGCUGGUUCUGGGCCCGUUUUCGGCUGGUUGAAGGCGUCCGAAAAGAGUCUAUGGUCUCAGGAUUACUUGUGGCACUUUAAGAUCCGAUAGCCCAAGCACUCUGAGUAACAAGCAUUCAAAUUGGUACUCAGACGAAAAAACCCGUUCAAUGACGUCACAACCAAAGAGCUCAAGACUGGUUCUACUUAAGAAGAUGCUUUACCAUGGAAGUCAUGCUGAUGAUGGGAUGCUUUGGAUGCCGUACACACACAAACUUUAUAUUCAGUCAUGAUUGCAAUGCUCUCCGAAUAAAUAUCAAUCCCUGUAGGGACAGUU